UCAAGCAACUAAGCGCAUACGGUGGAUGCCUUGGCAGUCAGAGGCGAUGAAAGACGUGGAAGCCUGCGAUAAGGUUCGGGGAGCUGGCAAACAAGCUGUGAUCCGGGCAUUUCUGAAUGGGGAAACCCACCGACUUUCGGGUCGGUAUCUUGCACUGAAUACAUAGGUGUAAGAGGCGAACCGGGGGAACUGAAACAUCUAAGUACCCCGAGGAAAAGAAAUCAACCGAGAUUCCCUAAGUAGCGGCGAGCGAACGGGGACUAGCCCUUAAGCUAGACAACUGGUAGGAGAAGGCUCUGGAAAGUGCCGCCAUAGUGGGUGAUAGCCCCGUAUCCGAAACCUGAGUCUGGUGAAAUCGAGUAGGACGGGACACGUGAUAUCCUGUCUGAACAUGGGGGGACCAUCCUCCAAGGCUAAAUACUCCUGACUGACCGAUAGUGAACCAGUACCGUGAGGGAAAGGCGAAAAGAACCCCGGGAGGGGAGUGAAACAGAUCCUGAAACCGCAUGCAUACAAACAGUCGGAGCCUCUGCGAAGGGGUGACGGCGUACCUUUUGUAUAAUGGGUCAGCGACUUAUGUUCAGUGGCGAGGUUAACCGUUUAGGGGAGCCGUAGGGAAACCGAGUCUUAAUAGGGCGUAUAGUUGCUGGGUAUAGACCCGAAACCAGGUGAUCUAUCCA
rnacentral:rRNA from 15 species